rnacentral:rRNA from 1 species
UGGGGAAUUUUGGACAAUGGGCGAAAGCCUGAUCCAGCAAUGCCGCGUGUGUGAAGAAGGCCUUCGGGUUGUAAAGCACUUUUGUCCGGAAAGAAAUCCUUGGCUCUAAUACAGUCGGGGGAUGACGGUACCGGAAGAAUAAGCACCGGCUAACUACGUGCCAGCAGCCGCGGUAAUACGUAGGGUGCAAGCGUUAAUCGGAAUUACUGGGCGUAAAGCGUGCGCAGGCGGUUUGCUAAGACCGAUGUGAAAUCCCGGGCUCAACCUGGGAACUGCAUUGGUGACUGGCAGGCUAGAGUAUGGCAGAGGGGGGUAGAAUUCCACGUGUGAGCAGGUGAAAGUGCGUAGAGAUGUGGAGGAAUACCGAUGGCGAAGGCAGCCCCUGGGCAAAUACUGACGCUCAUGCA